AGUGAACGCUGGCGGUAGGCCUAACACAUGCAAGUCGAACGGCAGCACAGUAAGAGCUUGCUCUUACGGGUGGCGAGUGGCGGACGGGUGAGGAAUACAUCGGAAUCUACUUUUUCGUGGGGGAUAACGUAGGGAAACUUACGCUAAUACCGCAUACGACCUACGGGUGAAAGCAGGGGAUCUUCGGACCUUGCGCGAUUGAAUGAGCCGAUGUCGGAUUAGCUAGUUGGCGGGGUAAAGGCCCACCAAGGCGACGAUCCGUAGCUGGUCUGAGAGGAUGAUCAGCCACACUGGAACUGAGACACGGUCCAGACUCCUACGGGAGGCAGCGGUGGGGAAUAUUGGACAGUGGGCGCAAGCCUGAUCCAGCCAUACCGCGUGGGUGAAGAAGGCCUUCGGGUUGUAAAGCCCUUUUGUUGGGAAAGAAAAGCAGCAGGUUAAUACCCCGCUGUUCUGACGGUACCCAAAGAAUAAGCACCGGCUAACUUCGU
rnacentral:rRNA from 1 species